rnacentral:rRNA from 1 species
GAUGAACGCUGGCGGCGUGCUUAACACAUGCAAGUCGAACGAGAAUCAACGGAUUGAGGAUUCGUCCAAAUGAAGUUGAGGAAAGUGGCGGACGGGUGAGUAACGCGUGAGGAACCUGCCUCGGAGUGGGGAAUAACAGUUAGAAAUGACUGCUAAUACCGCAUAAGACCACAGGAUCGCAUGAUCCGGUGGUAAAAACUCCGGUGGUAUGAGAUGGACCCGCGUCUGAUUAGCUAGUUGGUGGGGUAACGGCUCACCAAGGCGACGAUCAGUAGCCGACCUGAGAGGGUGACCGGCCACAUUGGGACUGAGACACGGCCCAA